UCUGUGUACACACGUUUUACAAAUGCUUUUCAUCUGUCUUUGCUGGUUUAGCCUCCUGAGGAGUCACGUUGAAACAGGUGUAGAUCAGGAAGGGGGCGGGCAACGCUGUUAAUUGACUUGGUUUGGCUGGUGCACCCGUCCCGGAAUCAUCCCUGACCUGCGAUGGAAGGCGGCGAGUCCUGGCAGCGAGUCUAACUCUGAAAUUCGUCACUUGUUGCACUCGCCUCGGCCACGAAUUACUCCUCAGCUGCCGCAGUACCCGGUUUCCCCCAAACAGCGAUCCCAUUUAACAGAGCUCUAGGGAGGAACAAAACGACAAACAACCACGAAACCUGGCAUGCUCCGACUGGACAGGAUCAUCAACAGAUCAGCAUGAUGUUGAUAGCAUCUGAGCCACGUUUCUGCUAACAAGGGUACAUUAAUUUGUUUUUAAAAAUGUGGAAACGUUUUUCUUCUUGCUGUAACCUGCAACCCUGGAAAACAUUAAUUUUGUAAGUCAAGAGGAAGUGUGUGGACCUUGGUGUCGGUCAAUAAUUCCAGAGAUGCUGACAAAUCAAUAUUGUUGUUUGACAACUACUUUUUCAAUUUGCCUCAUAUAUUUCAUCACCCUGUAAUCAGACAAGUGACAACAGUGACCGUAGAAUAUUUAUGUUUUUAUUUCAAGCUGUUUAAUUGACAUUGGAGGCUGUAUUCUGGCACAAAUCACAUUUAAAGACACACUUUAAAUAACUACAAAUAAA